rnacentral:rRNA from 1 species
UACGAAGGGGGCUAGCGUUGUUCGGAUUUACUGGGCGUAAAGGGCUCGUAGGUGGCCAACUAAGUCAGACGUGAAAUCCCUCGGCUUAACCGGGGAACUGCGUCUGAUACUGGAUGGCUUGAGUUCGGGAGAGGGAUGCGGAAUUCCAGGUGUAGCGGUGAAAUGCGUAGAUAUCUGGAGGAACACCGGUGGCGAAGGCGCAAACCUGGCCCGAUACUGACACUAAAGCGCGAAAGCCAGGGGAGCAAACGGG